ensembl:lncRNA
GUUAAUAAAGGUGGACUCUGGAAAGCAGAAUUUAAAGAGGAGUCUGAUGAUGUGCCAAUAUUUAUGAUAAUAGACUUGAUGCCAUAACAGCUAUCAUUGAAAAUGCGACGCAGUCUAUGAAGUUGUCUUACUGUUCUCCCGUGGCCGAUUGGAUUGACAGAAUAGGUUAGGAUGCCCCUUGGAGAUCUAGAGGACGGGAAUGGAUGGAAAAAGAAGACGUCGGACAUCAAAGAAAACUAUGACUUCAAAGAAGUUCUGGGAACAACCAGGAAAGGACUAGAGAGGCUAGACAAGAGAGAGCACCGUAGCAUAAUCAGAGACAGCAAAAGAAGAGGGCAGACAAGAGAGACAGCAACGAUGACACAGAGAAAGCAAUGGAGAGAGGCAGAGGAGGGGUGAGCAUACAAUAGACUGUAUCACUUAAAGCUGGUGUAUGGAUUCUAAUUAGCGUGCAUGUUCGUGUGUGUGUGUGUGUGUGUGUGUGUGUGUGUGUGUGUGUGGUGUGUGUGUGUGUGUGUGUGAGUGAGCGAGAGAGAGAGCGAGCGAGAGAGUGUUUUGGUACUGUGGGAUCUUUAAUCGGUUUUGCUCAUUGACGAUCAAGUCGAUGUUUAAAGUUUUUGAGUGGUUACUGGCAAUACACUGUAGAAGUAUGUUUUCCAGAGUAAAAAGUAGAGCGUGUUCCAGAGUAGAGAGUAACCACAGUAGCAAAUGCAAUUGAGUACUUGCAUUGUCUGCUGAGGCAAGUGGGAAGGUGCAAGUUACCUCAAAAAGAUAUAAACUGUCAAUGUUCUAAUCUCUCAAUAUUCAUCUCAAAGUGCACCAAAUUCAUGUAUUUAGCUGUUGAAAUUCAAUAUUUUUUGCCAAGGGAAAAUGCCCCCAGACUCCCCUACUGGCUUUGGGCUAAGCCCCUAAUGUCUUCAACUCCACGAAAACCCCUGGUUCUGUUCCUUUUCAUGCAUUUCUAGCAGAUUCAGAAACUCCUCCUCGUAGUCAUCUGCUCCAUUCACUGAUCCAUCAGCCCCUAAAACACACACAGGAGGAACAUACAUUCACAUAAACUAUUAUUAUUAUCUAUCUAUCACUUUACUCUGCCUUCAUGUAAAUAUUUACCUCAAAAACCUCAUACCUCUGCACAUUGAUCUGGUACUGGUACUCCCUGUAUAUAUCUCCAUUCUUG